rnacentral:rRNA from 1 species
CUCCUACGGGGCGCAGCAGUGAGGAAUAUUGGUCAAUGGGCGGAAGCCUGAACCAGCCAAGUAGCGUGCAGGAUGACGGCCCUACGGGUUGUAAACUGCUUUUAUACGGGAAUAACGCGCCUUACGUGUAGGGCUUUGCAUGUACCGUAUGAAUAAGGACCGGCUAAUUCCGUGCUAGCAGCCGCGGUAAUACGGAGGAUGCGAGCGUUAUCCGGAUUUAUUGGGUUUAAAGGGUGCGCAGGCGGGCUGUUAAGCCGGCGGUAAAAAUUCAGGGCUCAACCCUGUCGAGCCGUCGGAACUGGCAG